UACGUAGGGGGCAAGCGUUAUCCAGAUUUACUGGGCGUAAAGAGCGUGUAGGCGGUUCGGUAAGUCGGCUGUGAAAGUCCAGGGCUCAACCCUGGGAUGCCGGUCGAUACUGCCGGACUAGAGUUCGGAAGAGGCGAGUGGAAUUCCCGGUGUAGCGGUGAAAUGCGUAGAUAUCAGGAGGAACACCUGCGGUGUAGACGGCUUACUGGACCAUAACUGACGCUGAGGCACGAAAGCGUGGGUAGCAAACAGG
rnacentral:rRNA from 1 species